rnacentral:misc_RNA from 1 species
UUGAAUGAACUUGGUGUGGUUGUUGCUGGCCCUUCUCAGGGCAUGUGCACACCCACCAUCCUCAUCUCUCCACCUGUGCACCUCUUGUAGAUUUGGAUCUACGUUUUUCAUAUACCCCAUAGCAUGUAACAGAAUGUAUCAUUUGGGCGCUUGUGCCUAUAAACCUUAUA